rnacentral:tRNA from 1 species
UUAGUGUGAUGGGUACAGCGUCAACUUUUGGAGCAAGCAAUCCCGGGUUCGAUCCCUGCUGG